rnacentral:rRNA from 1 species
UGACCUCGGAUCAGGUAGGGAUACCCGCUGAACUUAAGCAUAUCAAUAAGCGGAGGAAAAGAAACCAACAGGGAUUGCCCCAGUAACGGCGAGUGAAGCGGCAAGAGCUCAAAUUUGAAAGCUGGCCCCCUCGGGGUCCGCAUUGUAAUUUGCAGAGGAUGCUUCGGGAGCGGUCCCCAUCUAAGUACCCUGGAACGGGUCGUCAUAGAGGGUGAGAAUCCCGUAUGGGAUGGGGUGUCCGCGCCCGUGUGAAGCUCCUUCGACGAGUCGAGUUGUUUGGGAAUGCAGCUCUAAAUGGGUGGUAAAUUUCAUCUAAAGCUAAAUAUUGGCCGGAGACCGAUAGCGCACAAGUAGAGUGAUCGAAAGAUGAAAAGCACUUUGAAAAGAGAGUUAAAAAGCACGUGAAAUUGUUGAAAGGGAAGCGCUUGCGACCAGACUCGCCCACGGGGUUCAGCCGGCAUUCGUGCCGGUGUACUUCCCCGCGGGCGGGCCAGCGUCGGUUUGGGCGGCCGGUCAAAGGCCCUCGGAAUGUAACGCCCCUCGGGGCGUCUUAUAGCCGAGGGUGCCAUGCGGCCUGCCCGGACCGAGGAACGCGCUUCGGCUCGGACGCUGGCAUAAUGGUCGUAAGCGACC